rnacentral:rRNA from 1 species
AUUGAACGCUGGCGGCAUGCCUUACACAUGCAAAUCGAACGGUAACGGGCCUUCGGGUGCCGACGAGUGGCGAACGGGUGAGUAAUACAUCGGAACGUGCCCGAUCGUGGGGGGUAACGAGGCGAAAGCUUUGCUAAUACCGCAUACGAUCUACGGAUGAAAGCGGGGGACCGCAAGGCCUUGCGCGGACGGAGCGGCCGAUGGCAGAUUAGGUAGUUGGUGGGAUAAAAGCUUACCAAGCCGACGAUCUGUAGCUGGUCUGAGAGGAUGAUCAGCCACACUGGGACUGAGACACGGCCCAGACUCCUACGGGAGGCAGCAGUGGGGAAUUUUGGACAAUGGGCGCAAGCCUGAUCCAGCCAUGCCGCGUGCAGGAUGAAGGCCUUCGGGUUGUAAACUGAUUUUGUACGGAACGAAAAGCCUUCUUUUAAUACAGGAGGGUCAUGACGGUACCGUAAGAAUAAGCACCGGCUAACUACGUG